ensembl:miRNA MIR2284B microRNA mir-2284b
CUAGGUGUUGGCUGAAAAGUUUGUUCGGGUUAAUCUGUACCAUCUUAUAGAAAAAUCUGAACAAACUUUAUGGCUAACCCAGU